CAAGACUACCCGCUGAACUUAAGCAUAU
rnacentral:rRNA from 1 species